rnacentral:rRNA from 1 species
CCUACGGGUGGCAGCAGUGGGGAAUAUUGCACAAUGGGGGAAACCCUGAUGCAGCAACGCCGCGUGAGUGAGGAAGUAUUUCGGUAUGUAAAGCUCUAUCAGCAGGGAAUAGAAAAGAAGGUACCUGAAACAGAAGCGCCGGCUAACUACGUGCCAGCAGCCGCGGUAAUACGGAGGAUGCGAGCGUUAUCCGGUUUUAUUGGGUUUAAAGGGUGCGUAGGCGGGCUGUUAAGUCAGCGGUAAAAGCCCGGGGCUCAACCCCGGCGAGCCGUUGAAACUGGCUGUCUUGAGAUGGCGAGAGGUAUGCGGAAUGCGCAGUGUAGCGGUGAAAUGCUUAGAUAUUGCGCAGAACUCCGAUUGCGAAGGCAGCAUACCGGCUGCGAUCUGACGCUGAGGCACGAAAGCGUGGGUAUCGAACAGGAUUAGAUACCCGAGUAGUC